GGUGGCUCAGUGGUAGAGCACUUGCCUUGUCUGCAUGAGGUCUGGGUUCAAUUCCUCAGCACCA
rnacentral:tRNA from 1 species